rnacentral:rRNA from 1 species
UACGGAGGGUGCAAGCGUUAAUCGGAAUCACUGGGCGUAAAGCGCACGUAGGCGGCCCGCUAAGUCAGAUGUGAAACCCCUGGGCUCAACCUGGGAAUGGCAUUUGAUACUGGCAAGCUCGAGUCCGAGAGAGGGGGGUGGAAUUCCAGGUGUAGCGGUGAAAUGCGUAGAUAUCUGGAGGAACACCGGUGGCGAAGGCGGCCCCCUGGCUCGUGACUGACGCUGAGGUGCGAAAGCGUGGGUAGCAAACAGG